GUUUGAAGAAGUGUCGCAGCAUGAGAAGCAAAUAGUGCUGGUAGUACAUGGAAAUUGAGAACUGUGCGAAAGUUUUCUACAAACAGGGAAGGACAGCCGGUUUUUCACCUAUGUGGCUGGAAGGCUAAAACACAAUGGUGACCAUCAUACAAAAUAGAGAUGGAUCAGCUAAAUUGAAGGCUCUUUGAGUGAAGUCCAGUUAAGGUUCAUAGUAGAGACUAUCCCUUCCAAGUGGGGAAUCGCACAGUAAACCAAACCUGACAAAACUUGACAAUAGGAAGUAAUAUUAAUGCUUUGGAGUGGCCCAGCCAAGGUCCAGACUUAAAUCUGAGAGUGAAACUGUGGAUAAUUGAAGAAUGAGGGUGGUGGUAACGAGGUCUUUCAACCUCAAAGACUUAAAGCUCAUCACCAAGGGUAAAUUGUCAAAAUACCAGAGGAAACAUGCAAAACGUUGGUCAGCAAUUUCAAGCUUUUAAUUGUUGUAAUAGCAAUAAAUAUUUUCUUUAUAAAAUAA